rnacentral:rRNA from 1 species
GAUGAACGCUGGCGGCGUGCCUAAUACAUGCAAGUCGAGCGGACCACUUCGGUGGUGAGCGGCGAACGGGUGAGUAACACGUAGGUGAUCUGCCCAUCAGACGGGGACAACGAUUGGAAACGAUCGCUAAUACCGGAUAGGACGAAAGUUUAAAGGUGCUUAUGGCACCGCUGAUGGAUGAGCCUGCGGCGCAUUAGCUAGUUGGUAGGGUAAAGGCCUACCAAGGCGACGAUGCGUAGCCGACCUGAGAGGGUGAACGGCCACACUGGGACUGAGACACGGCCCAGACUCCUACGGGAGGCAGCAGUAGGGAAUCUUCGGCAAUGGGCGAAAGCCUGACCGAGCAACGCCGCGUGAAUGAUGAAGGCCUUCGGGUUGUAAAAUUCUGUUAUAAGGGAAGAACGACUUUAGUAGGAAAUGGCUAGAGUGUGACGGUACCUUAUGAGAAAGCCACGGCUAACUACGUGCCAGCAGCCGCGGUAA